AAGGGCCUGUGAUGCUGGUGUUGUUGCUGAGGUAAAGGGCCUGUGAUGCUGGCGUUGUUGCUGAGGUAAAGGGCCUGUGAUGCUGGCGUUGUUGCUGAGGUAAAGGGCCUGUGAUGCUGGCGUUGUUGCUGAGGUAAAGGGCCUGUGAUGCUGGCGUUGUUGCUGAGGUAAAGGGCCUGUGAUGCUGGCGUUGUUGCUGAGGUAAAGGGCCUGUGA